rnacentral:rRNA from 1 species
AUGAAUGAGACCAUGUAUAAUUUUGAGAAGGAAGGCGGUAAUCCCAGGCCAAAUCAGUUUAUGAUUUCUUUCACAAAGGCAUUAGAUGACUGGAACUUAACUGAUGUUGGCUACGUUGGGGACAGAUUUACAUGGCACCAUGGUUUGAUGAGAGAAUGCUUGGAUAGGACGGUGUCUAAUGAAGAAUGGAAUAACUUAUUUCCAACAGCAAUAGUGGAGCAUCUUGAAUAUCACAAGUUUGAUCACCGGCCACUACUUGUUUCUAUAUAUGAGUGUACCACAAGAGGCAUUUGGACCAAAAAUUAUGAGGUUUGA